UCUGUAACUGACGCUGAAGGCUCGAAAGCGUGGGGAGCAAAACAGGAUUAGAUACCCUGGUAGUCCACGCCGUAAACGAUGAGUGCUAAGUGUUGGAGGGUUUCCGCCCUUCAGUGCUGCAGCUAACGCAUUAAGCACUCCGCCUGGGGAGUACGACCGCAAGGUUGAAACUCAAAGGAAUUGACGGGGGCCCGCACAAGCGGUGGAGCAUGUGGUUUAAUUCGAAGCAACGCGAAGAACCUUACCAGGUCUUGACAUCCUUUGACCACUCUAGAGAUAGAGCUUCCCCUUCGGGGGCAAAGUGACAGGUGGUGCAUGGUUGUCGUCAGCUCGUGUCGUGAGAUGUUGGGUUAAGUCCCGCAACGAGCGCAACCCUUAUUGUUAGUUGCCAUCAUUCAGUUGGGCACUCUAGCAAGACUGCCGGUGACAAACCGGAGGAAGGUGGGGAUGACGUCAAAUCAUCAUGCCCCUUAUGACCUGGGCUACACACGUGCUACAAUGGGAAGUACAACGAGUUGCGAAGUCGCGAGGCUAAGCUAAUCUCUUAAAGCUUCUCUCAGUUCGGAUUGCAGGCUGCAACUCGCCUGCAUGAAGCCGGAAUCGCUAGUAAUUCGCGGAUCAGCACGCCGCGGUGAAUACGUUCCCGGGCCUUGUACACACCGCC
rnacentral:rRNA from 1 species